UACGGAAGGGGCAAGCGUUAUUCGGAAUCAUUGGGCGUAAAGGGCGCGUAGGUGGUUCUGUAUGUCUACCGUGAAAGCAUACAGCUCAACUGUAUUUUGUCGGUAGAAACUGCAGGACUUGAGGCUGGGAGGGGCUGGUGGAAUUCCCUGUGUAGCGGUGAAAUGCGUAGAGAUGGGGGAGAACACUCGUGGCGAAGGCGGCCAGCUAGACCAGUUCUGACACUGAGGCGCGACAGCGUGGGGAGCAAACAGG
rnacentral:rRNA from 1 species